rnacentral:rRNA from 1 species
AACGAACGCUGGCGGCAUGCCUAACACAUGCAAGUCGAACGAGACCUUCGGGUCUAGUGGCGCACGGGUGCGUAACGCGUGGGAACCUGCCCUUAGGUUCGGAAUAACUCCCCGAAAGGGGUGCUAAUACCGGAUAAUGUCUUCGGACCAAAGAUUUAUCGCCUUUGGAUGGGCCCGCGUUGGAUUAGCUAGUUGGUAGGGUAAAAGCCUACCAAGGCGACGAUCCAUAGCUGGUCUGAGAGGAUGAUCAGCCACACUGGGACUGAGACACGGCCCAGACUCCUACGGGAGGCAGCAGUGGGGAAUAUUGGACAAUGGGCGAAAGCCUGAUCCAGCAAUGCCGCGUGAGUGAUGAAGACCUUAGGGUUGUAAAGCUCUUUUACCCGGGAUGAUAAUGACAGUACCGGGAGAAUAAGCUCCGGCUAACUCCGU